UAUCUCUCUUUAGAUACGUACCUACUUGUAGGCAUCUCUCAAGGCUGAGUGCCUCAGCUCCUCUGCAUGGCGCUGAACCUGAAGCUCUUCAUCUGUUCUGCUCUGACAGUGUUAGCAGUACUUGGGGCUCCUUAUUUAAUGCCUUUUCUCCCCGGAGCGAGGGAGAGGAGGAGGAUGCACCAGUGUCUCCGAGCUAGAGGCAGGAGUGCUCUGUAGCUCCAGGUCCCUCAAUCAAUUGCGAGGGACUUUUUUUUUGUACACGUGUUAAUUACUUUAGCAUAACAGUACCUCGUGAACAGAUUUCCUAGGGCUGAAAGGGGAAUAGACUAGAAUAAGAUGUAAAAUUGCAGCAGCUGCUUUGAGGAGCUAUUUAGGGAUGUGAUGAAAAGCAUCGAAUGAAGUUGUUCAGGUUGGCUAGCUUAUUUUUCCUGCAUAACCAGUGACUUCUUCCUCUCCUGGGAAAUUUCCAUGGGGAUUAGAGGGGUAUUUGUUUUAGUGAUCUCCUUCCCCGUGGUCCUGGAGGCGACCGAGUGACUGCAGCGCACCGUGGGACCGAUUUGUUAUCUGCGGGUGGAUCAGGUGAUCCCUGUUUGUUUUCCCCAGUAGCUGCUUUUAAUUAGCAUCACUUAAAAUACAUUUCCAGCGUGUGCAGUAAUGAGAGCGCUGCUCUAGCACUCGGUCCUGCCUGAGCCAGGACCACUGUACCACGCGAUGGCACUGGUAGACACUGUCUUGUCCUGUCUAGCUUGCCUUUCUGGUAUGUUAGCUGUAGACUACAUUCCCAUUUACCUGCUCAUCUUCCCUCUGCUCUCCUGCUUCUGUUGCUAGCAGCAGUUGCCACUCCUUCCCUGCUCUGCCUGUUUGAGAUUUGCCACACCAGAUCUGUUUGCUUUGCUCAGGGCCGAGCUUGGGCAAGGUGGGGCUUCCAGGAGCUGUUAAUGAGGCAGGCUAUAUAAGCACUGGCCCUUCUUUGCAUAGAUUGUCCUGUCUUUAAUGGGCAUCAGCAACACCUGCUCCUGUUGCUCCUUUGCUGGGGUUUGAUGGAGACGGGGGUGUUUCUCUUUUUGGAAUGGCUGGCUGUGGGGGGUGGUAUUUUGCUCCCACUGAAGUCAAUGGCAGUAUUCCCAUAGACAUUGUAGGGGCCAGGAUUUCACCCAGUCUGCUUAACUGUCACUAGGCCACAGAUGUGGCUUGGAACGGGUGGCUCGGGAGCCUGAUCCUUCUGAGCCUGUCUCGGGUGCCAGGGUAGGACGAAAGAAUCACUGCAGCACAUCUGGCUGUGCUAGCCAGCAAAGGCAGAGCCGAAGGGAAGGGGUUUGAUGGGCUGCCCUCUGUCUCUAUUAUGGCUCAAGCUGGCUCUUGGCAGCAUUGAUUAAGAGCUGGCAGCGUGAGGCUGAGCUGCUGUAGUAGCAACUGUCUAGGGGUUUCAUGGCUGGUGAGACAGGAGCAAAGGGGCAUGGGGCAGGGAGCUUAGCUCAAAUACCUGGGUUCUGUCUGGUGAAUGUUUUAUCUACUGCUUUGAAAUAUUGCUGUGGAUUUUAGCAUGACCCAAACAAGUCAGGCUUUUCUUAAACAAGGCCCUGCUGAUUGCGCUGCACAGAGGCUACAACAAAGUGCCAAUGUGAAGUUAAACCGUUUAGUUUUGCUGCCCAUGCUGAAUGAAGUAACCAAGCAUGCAAGCAGGAAAUGGUAAGCUUGGCUUAAAAAAAAGCUCACUUCCUAAUCUUGUGUUUUUGAUGCGGAGGGUAGUAACAGGCCAGCUUUCAAUCUUGGGGUAUACAUCUUGGGUACUGAUUUUUGCUGGAUGUUCGCUGGAUUUACAGGGGUUAAGACUGAAAUUUGGACUCUGCACCUCUGCUUUCAGACCAUAGAGAAGUGGCAGGAUGAGCAGAAAAAUCCAGGGCCCAGCUUCUGAUCUGUGUUUCCCCUCUUUCCUGUGCACAGAGCAGCUCUGGUGAGGUUGGCAAAGAGGUUUGGAUUCGCACUUCCUGGCCUGAGACUAGACUUGUGUCCUGCAGUUCAGAGCCUGGCCACACGUGCUCUCUACAAGAAUGAAAGCGGUGUGAUUUGUGCUCUGAUCAAAGUGAAUGAUUAAGAAAAGUGAAGUGAACCCCUGUAACCUUCCUACUUAAAGGUUCCCUGCCUCAGGCAGUGUUUGAAGGAUCUCCUAUAACAACGCCUCUGAAAAGUGUCCUGCUAUAUUUCUUUUUUUUUUUUUAUAUAAAGAUUUGCUGGGGCCUGACACUUACCUGCAAAUAACCUGUAACUAUGAAUUCUUUUUAUAAAGUCAGUGCCUGGCUUGUUGUGUAUGGCAGGGAACCUAACUUCUUCCCAAGGGAGAGGUGCUGUGUGUGGCUCCUAGUCUAACACAGCAUGGCUGAAUUUAAUCGGAUUUCAUUAGCUGAAUGGGGGCUGGCUUGUUUAGAUGCCAGGUCUCUGAGAGCCCCAGGAGAUGGUGGAAGUGGUGUGGGAUGACGGACCUACCUUGGGGUUAGCAGCUGCUCUGCUGCUGGAGACUGUGUGUAAUAAGAUGCAAAAUAAAUGCUGUAAUGUUGGGUGGGGGAGAGAAGAAAACAAUCCCUGGGCACUUUUCUUCGAGUGUGUGAGCAUUAACCUAGGUGUCCUGGCCAAAUUUAAAUGCUGCUGUUUGCAUUUGCCCUGUCUACAGCUCCCCUUGUAUUUUCUCAGGUGAACAAAAUGUUCUUGUUGUCUCUGGUCCUGUUCAUCAGUUGCUGUUUUCCAUACCCAAAGUGGCUUGCACAUCAGUGCCUGUCAGAGCAGGUUCUGUUCUAUUCGUCAGCUGCUUUCGGAGUCUCCUGAAUAACGAGAUUGUGCAGAAAGGGUUAUUUGGCUCUACAUUAUGGCCCAGUCUCACCAACGCUGUCAUGCUGCAGCAUCCUCAAAGAUCUGCGUUAGUGAUGCCAAGACAUAUCAGCUUUGGACUUUUGCUAAACUGCCCCUGGUUCCUGCCUGUUAGGUUUUCUGAACAGUGACACAGCCCACCGUUCGCUAUAGCACUUAGUUCCAGUGCUGGAGAAGGAAGGAGCGAGUCUGUUUGUUUCUCUGGGCAUUGGUUGGAUUGGCUGUCAUCUUUACAUGCCCCAGUAACUGUUUUCUCCUCGUGGCCUAAUGCAAGAUAACUAGUGUUAAGUUCUGAAAUCAUUCAAGGGUCACCGGAGCUAGUUGCUGUUUCUCUGGCUGUUGCAAAGGGCAACACUUCCUCGGGAACAAGGCAGCUCCAGUUCUCAGUGUCCGGGCGUCGUUUAGACUAGGAAUAGUUAACUGCCUGAGUCAGGGUCAUUAUGUAAGCUGCAAUCUCUCUCCCUUUCUCUUUCAAAAUGCCAGGUGUCGCUUUCAAGACUCAGUGAUGAUCUCUAUGUUUUCCUUAUGGGUUUUAAUGAGAAUAGAGUACCGUCUUUAUGAACUGGUGCGUGCCUGUGAGAAAUGUAAAUGGGGAGCAGGCGUGUGUGCCAGAGCAGCUGAGAUCCUGAACCUGAUCAUGUUACAGUGUUUUGAUAUAUAUUUUUUUUAAUUUUUUUGUAAUAGACUUUGCAUCCGAGAGAGAGAGUUGGCUGAGUGGUUUUAUUAAAAAAACAACCCUGAAAUAAAGUGUGUUGGAGAUGCUUGUACGUUUGAUAUUAAAACAGCGUUCUUUCGUG